UAGUUAAGGUGUAGGUAGAGAUGUGGUUAUAUAGUUAAGGUGUAGGUAGAGAUGUGGUUAUAUAGUUAAGUUGUAGGUAGAGAUGUGGUUAUAUAGUUAAGGUGUAGGUGGUGAUGUGGUUAUAUAGUUAAGGUGUAGGUAGAGAUGUGGUUAUAUAGUUAAGGUGUAGGUAGAGAUGUGGUUAUAUAGUUAUAUAGUUAAGGUGUAGGUAGAGAUGUGGUUAUAUAGUUAAGGUGUAGGUAGAGAUGUGGUUAUAUAGUUAAGGUGUAGGUAGAGAUGUGGUUAUAUAGUUAAGGUGUAGGUAGAGAUGUGGUUAUAUAGUUAUAUAGUUAAGGUGUAGGUAGAGAUGUGGUUAUAUAGUUAAGGUGUAGGUAGAGAUGUGGUUAUAUAGUUAAGUUGUAGGUAGAGAUGUGGUUAUAUAGUUAAGGUGUAGGUGGUGAUGUGGUUAUAUAGUUAAGGUGUAGGUAGAGAUGUGGUUAUAUAGUUAAGUUGUAGGUAGAGAUGUGGUUAUAUAGUUAAGGUGUAGGUGGUGAUGUGGUUAUAUAGUUAAGGUGUAGGUAGAGAUGUGGUUAUAUAGUUAAGUUGUAGGUAGAGAUGUGGUUAUAUAGUUAAGGUGUAGGUGGUGAUGUGGUUAUAUAGUUAAGGUGUAGGUAGAGAUGUGGUUAUAUAGUUAAGUUGUAGGUAGAGAUGUGGUUAUAUAGUUAAGGUGUAGGUGGUGAUGUGGUUAUAUAGUUAAGGUGUAGGUAGAGAUGUGGUUAUAUAGUUAAGUUGUAGGUAGAGAUGUGGUUAUAUAGUUAAGGUGUAGGUGGUGAUGUGGUUAUAUAGUUAAGGUGUAGGUAGAGAUGUGGUUAUAUAGUUAAGUUGUAGGUAGAGAUGUGGUUAUAUAGUUAAGGUGUAGGUGGUGAUGUGGUUAUAUAGUUAAGGUGUAGGUAGAGAUGUGGUUAUAUAGUUAAGUUGUAGGUAGAGAUGUGGUUAUAUAGUUAAGGUGUAGGUGGUGAUGUGGUUAUAUAGUUAAGGUGUAGGUAGAGAUGUGGUUAUAUAGUUAAGUUGUAGGUAGAGAUGUGGUUAUAUAGUUAAGGUGUAGGUGGUGAUGUGGUUAUAUAGUUAAGGUGUAGGUAGAGAUGUGGUUAUAUAGUUAAGUUGUAGGUAGAGAUGUGGUUAUAUAGUUAAGGUGUAGGUGGUGAUGUGGUUAUAUAGUUAAGGUGUAGGUAGAGACGUGGUUAUAUGGUUACGGUGUAGGUAGAGAUGUGGUUAUAUAGUUAAGGUGUAGGUAGAGAUGUGGUUAUAUAGUGAAGGUGUAGGUAGAGAUGUGGUUAUAUAGUUAAGGUGUAGGUAGAGAUGUGGUUAUAUAGUUAAGGUGUAGGUAGAGAUGUGGUUAUAUAGUUAAGGUGUAGGUAGAGAUGUGGUUAUAUAGUUAAGGUGUAGGUAGAGAUGUGGUUAUAUAGUUAAGGUGUAGGUAGAGAUGUGGUUAUAUAGUUAAGGUGUAGGUAGAGACGUGGUUAUAUAGUUAAGGUGUAGGUAGAGAUGUGGUUAUAUAGUUAUAUAGUUAAGGUGUAGGUAGAGAUGUGGUUAUAUAGUUAAGGUGUAGGUAGAGAUGUGGUUAUAUAGUUAAGGUGUAUGUAGAGAUGUGGUUAUAUAGUUAAGGUAUAUGUUGAGAUGUGGUUAUAUAGUUAUAUAGUUAAGGUGUAGGUAGAGAUGUGGUUAUAUAGUUAAGGUGUAGGUAGAGAUGUGGUUAUAUAGUUAAGGUGUAGGUAGAGAUGUGGUUAUAUAGUUAAGGUGUAGGUAGAGAUGUGGUUAUAUAGUUAAGGUGUAGGUAGAGAUGUGGUUAUAUAGUUAAGGUGUAGGUAGAGACGUGGUUAUAUAGUUAAGGUGUAGGUAGAGAUGUGGUUAUAUAGUUAUAUAGUUAAGGUGUAGGUAGAGAUGUGGUUAUAUAGUUAAGGUGUAUGUAGAGAUGUUGUUAUAUAGUUAUAUAGUUAAGGUGUAGGUAGAGACGUGGUUAUAUAGUUAUAUAGUUAAGGUGUAUGUAGAGAUGUGGUUAUAUAGUUAUAUAGUUAUGGUGUAUGUAGAGAUGUGGUUAUAUAGUUAUAUAGUUAAGGUGUAGGUAGAGAUGUGGUUAUAUAGUUAAGGUGUAGGUAGAGAUGUGGUUAUAUGGUUACGGUGUAGGUAGAGAUGUGGUUAUAUAGUCAAG